rnacentral:pre_miRNA from 12 species
CUACUUUUACCCUGUAGAUCCGAAUAUUGUAUCCGAAUUUUGUUCGCAAUCAAUUCAUCAAUUAAACAAAUUCGGAUUUAGAGGGGAAAAUGUC